rnacentral:rRNA from 1 species
AGUCAAGUAAUUAAGUGCAUGUGGUGGAUGCCUUGGCAGUCAGAGGCGAUGAAAGACGUGAUAGCCUGCGAAAAGCUCCGGGGAGGCGGCAAAUAUCCUUUGAUCCGGAGAUGUCUGAAUGGGGGAACCCACCUACUUUAAGGUAGGUAUUGCAACAUGAAUACAUAGUGUUGCAAGGCGAACGAGGGGAAGUGAAACAUCUCAGUACCCUUAGGAAAAGAAAUCAAUUGAGAUUCCCUCAGUAGCGGCGAGCGAACGGGGAUCAGCCCAUUAAGUUAUGUGUGUUUUAGUGGAACGCUCUGGGAAGUGCGAACGUAGAGGGUGAUAUUCCCGUACACGAAAGGGCACACAUAAUGAUGACGAGUAGGGCGAGGCACGUGAAACCUUGUCUGAAUAUGGGGGGACCAUCCUCCAAGGCUAAAUACUCCUGACUGACCGAUAGUGAACCAGUACCGUGAGGGAAAGGCGAAAAGAACCCCUGUGAGGGGAGUGAAAUAGAUCCUGAAACCGCAUGCAUACAAGCAGUGGGAGCACCUUCGUGGUGUGACUGCGUACCUUUUGUAUAAUGGGUCAGCGACUUAUAUUCAGUAGCGAGGUUAACCGUAUAGGGGAGCCGUAGAGAAAUCGAGUCUUAAUAGGGCGUUUAGUUGCUGGGUAUAGACCCGAAACCAGGCGAUCUAUCCAUGAGCAGGUUGAAGGUUGGGUAACACUAACUGGAGGACCGAACCCACUGUCGUUGAAAAGCCAGGGGAUGACUUGUGGAUAGGGGUGAAAGGCUAAUCAAGCCUGGUGAUAGCUGGUUCUCCCCGAAAGCUAUUUAGGUAGCGCCUCGGACGAAUACCAUAGGGGGUAGAGCACUGUUUCGGCUAGGGGGUCAUCCCGACUUACCAAACCGAUGCAAACUCCGAAUACCUAUGAGUACUAUCCGGGAGACAGACUGCGGGUGCUAACGUCCGUAGUCAAGAGGAAAACAAUCCAGACCGCCAGCUAAGGCCCCAAAAUCAUAGUUAAGUGGGAAACGAUGUGGGAAGGCAUAGACAGCUAGGAGGUUGGCUUAGAAGCAGCCACCCUUUAAAGAAAGCGUAAUAGCUCACUAGUCGAGUCGGCCUGCGCGGAAGAUGUAACGGGGCUAAAACUAUGUGCCGAAGCUGCGGAUGUAUACUUUGUAUACGUGGUAGGGGAGCGUUCUGUAAGCCGAUGAAGGUGUGUUGAGAAGCAUGCUGGAGGUAUCAGAAGUGCGAAUGCUGACAUAAGUAACGAUAAAGCGGGUGAAAAGCCCGCUCGCCGGAAGACCAAG